AUUGAACGCUGGCGGCAGGCCUAACACAUGCAAGUCGAACGAGUGGCGGACGGGUGAGUAAUGUCUGGGAAACUGCCUGAUGGAGGGGGAUAACUACUGGAAACGGUAGCUAAUACCGCAUACCAUCGGAUGUGCCCAGAUGGGAUUAGAUAGUAGGUGGGGUAAAGGCUCACCUAGGCGACGAUCCCUAGCUGGUCUGAGAGGAUAACCAGCCACACUGGAACUGAGACACGGUCCAGACUCCUACGGGAGGCAGCAGUGGGGAAUAUUGCACAAUGUACGCAAGCCUGAUGCAGCCAUGCCGCGUGUAUGAAGAAGGCCUGCGGGUUGUAAAGUACUUUCAGCGGGGCGGCGUUACCCGCAGAAGAAGCACCGACUAACUCCUUUCAAGCCGCCGCGGUAAUUU
rnacentral:rRNA from 1 species